AACGGAGGGUGCAAGCGUUAAUCGGAAUUACUGGGCGAAAAGCGCACGCAGGGGGUCUGUCAAGUCGGAUGUGAAAUCCCCGGGCUAAACCUGGGAACUGCAUCCGAAACCGGCAGGCUAGAGUCUUGGAGAGGGGGGUAGAAUUCCAGGUGGAGCGGGGAAAUGCGUAGAGAUCGGGAGGAAUACCAGUGGCGAAGGCGGCCUUCUGGACUGACACUGACACUGAGGUGCGAAAGCGUGGGUAGCAAACAGG
rnacentral:misc_RNA from 1 species